rnacentral:rRNA from 1 species
GAUGAACGCUGGCGGCGUGCCUAAUACAUGCAAGUCGAGCGAACUGAUUAGAAGCUUGCUUCUAUGACGUUAGUGGCGGACGGGUGAAUAACACGUGGGCAACCUGCCUGUAAGACUGGGAUAACUUCGGGAAACCGAAGCUAAUACCGGAUAGGAUCUUCUCCUUCAUGGGAGAUGAUUGAAAGAUGGUUUCGGCUAUCACUUACAGAUGGGCCCGCGGUGCAUUAGCUAGUUGGUGAGGUAACGGCUCACCAAGGCAACGAUGCAUAGCCGACCUGAGAGGGUGAUCGGCCACACUGGGACUGAGACACGGCCCAGACUCCUACGGGAGGCAGCAGUAGGGAAUCUUCCGCAAUGGACGAAAGACUGACGGAGCAACGCCGCGUGAGUGAUGAAGGCUUUCGGGUCGUAAAACUCUGUUGUUAGGGAAGAACAAGUACAAGAGUAACUGCUUGUACCUUGACGGUACCUAACCAGAAAGCCACGGCUAACUACGUGCCAGCAGCCGCCGCGG